CUUUUUUUUCCAGAAACACAAGACCUUUGAUUCUUUUCAGAAUGAGGUUUUGCAAAGUGAGCUGACUGAAAAGGCUUGAGAAAAGCACAGUCAAGAAAAUGCAAGGCAAACAUGAAACCCCCGGCUUACUGAGAGAGGAGGGUCUCCUGUAGGCUCUAUCUAGCAAGAUCUGAACCUCCAGGUGAAGGUCAUACCUGCUGUUCUCAAACCUGCUGUCAUUUCUCCGUGAGGAAUUCUCCUUGACAAGUAUUUUGGCCCCUUGCCCUG
rnacentral:lncRNA from 1 species